rnacentral:rRNA from 1 species
GAUCAUGGCUCAGGAUGAACGCUAGCGGCAGGCUUAAUACAUGCAAGUCGUGGGGCAGCAGGUUUGUAGCAAUACAGAUGCUGGCGACCGGCAAACGGGUGCGGAACACGUACAGAACCUUCCUUUGAGCGGGGAAUAGCCCAGAGAAAUUUGGAUUAAUACCCCAUAGUAUAAUGAAGUGGCAUCACUUUAUUAUUAAAGAUUUAUCACUCGAAGAUGGCUGUGCGGCUGAUUAGGUAGUUGGCGGGGUAAAGGCCCACCAAGCCUGCGAUCAGUAACUGGUGUGAGAGCACGACCAGUCACACGGGCACUGAGACACGGGCCCGACUCCUACGGGAGGCAACAGUAAGGAAUAUUGGUCAAUGGAGGCAACUCUGAACCAGCCAUGCCGCGUGGAGGAUGAAGGUCCUCUGGAUUGUAAACUUCUUUUAUAUGGGAUGAAAAAAGGCUUUUCUAAGUCGUCUGACGGUACCAUAUGAAUAAGCACCGGCUAACUCCGUG